AUGGCGCGGUCUAUGAUGUCUCUUACCAAUUUCCCACUAUCGUUUUGGGGUUAUGCAUUAGAGACAGCUGCAUUCACGUUAAAUAGGGCACCGUCUAAAUCCGUUGAGACGACACCGUAUGAACUGUCGUUUGGCAAGAAACCUAAACUGUCGUUUCUUAAAGUUUGGGGUUACGACACUUAUGUCAAAAGGCUUCAGCCUGAUAAGCUCGAAUCCAAAUCGGAGAUGCGCGUCUUCAUAGAAUACCCUAAGAAACAAUUGGGUAUAUCUUCUACCACAGAUCCGAAGGCAAUAUCUUUAUUGCCAAGAAUGAAACAUUUCUGGAUAAGGAGUUUCUCUCGAAAUAAGUGA
rnacentral:rRNA from 1 species